GACGAACGCUGGCGGCGUGCUUAACACAUGCAAGUCGAACGGAAAGGCCCUGCUUUUGUGGGGUGCUCGAGUGGCGAACGGGUGAGUAACACGUGAGUAACCUGCCCUUGACUUUGGGAUAACUUCAGGAAACUGGGGCUAAUACCGGAUAGGAGCUCCUGCUGCAUGGUGGGGGUUGGAAAGUUUCGGCGGUUGGGGAUGGGCUCGCGGCUUAUCAGCUUGUUGGUGGGGUAGUGGCUUACCAAGGCUUUGACGGGUAGCCGGCCUGAGAGGGUGACCGGCCACAUUGGGACUGAGAUACUGCCCAGACUCCUACGGGAGGCAGCAGUGGGGAAUAUUGCACAAUGGGCGGAAGCCUGAUGCAGCAACGCCGCGUGCGGGAUGACGGCCUUCGGGUUGUAAACCGCUUUCGCCUGUGACGAAGCGUGAGUGACGGUAAUGGGUAAAGAAGCACCGGCUAACUACGUG
rnacentral:rRNA from 1 species